rnacentral:rRNA from 1 species
AGCGAACGCUGGCGGCAGGCCUAACACAUGCAAGUCGAACGGAUCCUUCGGGACUAGUGGCGGGCGGGUGAGUAACACGUGGGAACGUGCCCUUUGGUUCGGAACAACUCAGGGAAACUUGAGCUAAUACCGGAUGUGCCCUUCGGGGGAAAGAUUUAUCGCCAUUGGAGCGGCCCGCGUCUGAUUAGCUAGUUGGUGAGGUAACGGCCCACCAAGGCGACGAUCAGUAGCUGGUCUGAGAGGAUGAUCAGCCACACUGGGACUGAGACACGGCCCAGACUCCUACGGGAGGCAGCAGUGGGGAAUCUUGCGCAAUGGGCGAAAGCCUGACGCAGCCAUGCCGCGUGAAUGAUGAAGGUCUUAGGAUUGUAAAAUUCUUUCAGCGGGGACGAUAAUGACGGUACCCGCAGAAGAAGCUCCGGCUAACUUCGUG